rnacentral:rRNA from 1 species
AAGGCGGGACAGAUGACUGGGGUGAAGUCGUAACAAGGUAGCCGUAGGAGAACCUGCGGCUGGAUCACCUCCUUUCUAAGGAAUAA